rnacentral:rRNA from 1 species
UACGAAGGGGGCUAGCGUUGCUCGGAAUUACUGGGCGUAAAGCGCACGUAGGCGGCUUUCUAAGUCGGGGGUGAAAUCCUGGAGCUCAACUCCAGAACUGCCUUCGAUACUGGCAGUCUCGAGUGCGGGAGAGGUGAGUGGAAUUCCCAGUGAUAGAGGUGAAAUUCGGUAGAUAUGGGGGAGGAACACCGGUGGCGAAGGCGGCCACCUGGGACGGGUU